UGCUCAAGUUGGUGUUGUUCGUUGUGCUCGUGGCUGCAGCCGCAGCCGUUGAUUUCGAAGAAACUGACGGCAAGCAGAGAACCGUGAGACGAAAUUCAGGCUAUCCAAAUAUAUUUUAUGAUCCAUCACCACCACCAGGCAGACUAUGGAAUUUCAUUUUUUCAAGUCAAUCUUCACCGUGGCUUGCAUUGAUGAAUGAUGCGGCGCCGGGACAGGGACAAGCGAAUCCUGAACUUCCAGGCCCCAUUUCCAAUCCGUCCUCGUGGAUCGUUCAAACCUUCAUCCAGCAACUGCCUCAGCCUCCACAAUAUCCACCAAAUCCUCCCAACAGGUUCCCGACCCAACAAUUGCAACAAUUCGACUCGGCUCCUCAUUCUCUCCCUCCUGGAUCCCCGCUGCCGCAACAGGGUCUACUUCAAUACCUUCUUGCCGUUUGUUUGGACUCGGUCACCCAUGAACUGCCUACUUCUUUUGGACCUCAAGGUUUAGCCGUGAGACACUACCUUUUAGGCGUUUGUUUGCGCAAAAUUCUAGAAGCCAAUGCCAACGUGCCAGCUUAACUAAAUAUGUUGAUGACGACUUGUGCUUUUUCUAAAACAAAAAUUAUUUGGGAAUUCUUUUUCACAUUAUAAUUUAAUGUUUUUUCUCUCGCAGAAAUAAAAUAGU